UACAGAGCCAGAAGGACUCGUCAUAUGAGAUAACAAGGGCUGAAGCCAGUUGGAUCUAAAGUGCCAAGUUAUUCGUUAUCAGGUGUUCCUGGACAGUUUUGAAACCGAGAUGUCUGAACGCCUCAAAUAAUCAGCAGUAAAGACAACAGAGACAAAUUCUCUAAUACCAAGGUCAAUGCAUUUGACUGCUGUCCAGCCCCGGGUUGCCACUGAAA